rnacentral:rRNA from 1 species
UGGGGAAUAUUGGACAAUGGGGGAAACCCUGAUCCAGCAAUGCCGCGUGAAUGAAGAAGGCCUUAGGGUUGUAAAGUUCUUUCACCUGUGAAGAUAAUGACGGUAGCAGGAGAAGAAGCCCCGGCUAACUCCGUGCCAGCAGCCGCGGUAAGACGGAGGGGGCUAGCGUUGUUCGGAAUGCCUGGGCGUAAAGGGCGCGUAGGCGGCUAUUUAAGUGAGGCGUGAAAGCCCUGGGCUUAACCCAGGAGGUGCGUUUCAUACUGGAUGGCUUGAGUACGAGAGAGGAAAGCGGAAUUCCUAGUGUAGAGGUGAAAUUCGUAGAUAUUAGGAAGAACACCAGUGGCGAAGGCGGCUUUCUGGCUCGUAACUGACGCUGAGGCGCGAAAGCGUGGGGAGCAAA